rnacentral:rRNA from 1 species
GUCGUUCGCUAUAAUUAAAUGUCGUAACGACUCUCGGCAACGGAUAUCUCGGCUCUCGCAUCGAUGAAGAACGUAGCGAAAUGCGAUACUUGGUGUGAAUUGCAGAAUCCCGUGAACCAUCGAGUCUUUGAACGCAAGUUGCGCCCGAAGCCGUUAGGCCGA